rnacentral:rRNA from 1 species
AUACGUAGGGGGCGAGCGUUGUCCGGAAUGACUGGGCGUAAAGGGCGUGUAGGCGGCUGUCUAAGUCUGGAGUGAAAGUCCUGCUUUCAAGGUGGGAAUUGCUUUGGAUACUGUCGGGCUUGAGUGCAGGAGAGGUAAGUGGAAUUCCCAGUGUAGCGGUGAAAUGCGUAGAGAUUGGGAGGAACACCAGUGGCGAAGGCGACUUACUGGACUGUAACUGACGCUGAGGCGCGAAAGUGUGGGGAGCAAACAGGAUUAGAUACCCUGGUAGUCCACACUGUAAACGAUGAAUGCUAGGUGUAGGGGGUAUCGACCCCUUCUGUGCCGCAGUCAACACAAUAAGCAUUCCGCCUGGGGAGUACGGCCGCAAGGUUGAAACUCAAAGGAAUUGACGGGG